rnacentral:piRNA from 1 species
GACAAUGUGUGUAUAACCCCAUCCCCAUC